GAUGAACGCUAGCUACAGGCUUAACACAUGCAAGUCGAGGGGCAGCAUGAACUUAGCUUGCUAAGUUUGAUGGCGACCGGCGCACGGGUGAGUAACACGUAUCCAACCUUCCGUUUACUCAGGGAUAGCCUUUCGAAAGAAAGAUUAAUACCUGAUAGUAUGGUGAGAUUGCAUGAUAGCACCAUUAAAGAUUUAUUGGUAAACGAUGGGGAUGCGUUCCAUUAGGUAGUAGGCGGGGUAACGGCCCACCUAGCCGACGAUGGAUAGGGGUUCUGAGAGGAAGGUCCCCCACAUUGGAACUGAGACACGGUCCAAACUCCUACGGGAGGCAGCAGUGAGGAAUAUUGGUCAAUGGGCGAGAGCCUGAACCAGCCAAGUAGCGUGCAGGAUGACGGCCCUAUGGGUUGUAAACUGCUUUUAUAAGGGAUAAAGUGGGAGUCGUGACUCUUUUUGCAUGUACCUUAUGAAUAAGGACCGGCUAAUUCCGUGCCAGCAGCCG
rnacentral:rRNA from 1 species